rnacentral:rRNA from 1 species
UACAGAGGUGGCAAGCGUUGUUCGGAAUUACUGGGCGUAAAGGGCGCGUAGGCGGUCUUGCAAGUCCUGUGUGAAAUCCCUCGGCUCAACUGAGGAACUGCACAGGAAACUGCUUGGCUUGAGUUCGGGAGAGGGAAGCGGAAUUCCGGGUGUAGCGGUGAAAUGCGUAGAUAUCGGAAGGAACAUCAGUGGCGAAGGCGACUUCCUGGACCAAUACUGACGCUCAGGUGCGAAAGCGUGGGGAGCAAACAGG